UACGAAGGGUGCAAACGUUGCUCGGAAUCAUUGGGCGUAAAGCGCACGUAGGCGGCCUCAUAAGUCGGAUGUGAAAUCCCUCGGCUCAACCGAGGACGUGCAUCCGAAACUGUGAAGCUCGAGUAUGGAAGAGGGUCGCGGAAUUCACGGUGUAGCAGUGAAAUGCGUAGAUAUCGUGAGGAAGACCAGUGGCGAAGGCGGAUCUCUGGACAGCUCCUGACGCUGAGGCGCGAAGGCUAGGGGAGCAAACGGG
rnacentral:rRNA from 1 species